UUUUGGAUGUUGAAUCGCCCAUUUUUUGUUGAUUUAAUUUUAUUUAAUAAGUGAACUCCAAUUUAGGGUCAAAUUUGAAAUGAUUUUCAAUUUCAAUGUCCAAAGAAUUCUAGUAAGGGUGUCCAGAGACGAAAUUGGGUGUAAACAAAAUUUCUCAAAAUAAAAAUGAUAAAUGUGAAGCAACAAUAGCGAAUUCGGGGAAAAUUUAUUGGUGGGUCCAUGAAGAAA
rnacentral:lncRNA from 1 species